rnacentral:rRNA from 1 species
GUGGGGAAUAUUGGACAAUGGGCGCAAGCCUGAUCCAGCCAUGCCGCGUGAGUGAUGAAGGCCUUAGGGUUGUAAAGCUCUUUCAGUGGGGACGAUAAUGACGGUACCCACAGAAGAAGCCCCGGCUAACUUCGUGCCAGCAGCCGCGGUAAUACGAAGGGGGCUAGCGUUGUUCGGAUUUACUGGGCGUAAAGCGCACGUAGGCGGAUCGUUAAGUCGGGGGUGAAAUCCUGGAGCUCAACUCCAGAACUGCCUUCGAUACUGGCGAUCUGGAGUCCGGAAGAGGUGAGUGGAACUCCUAGGGUAGAGGUGGAAUUCGUAGAUAUUAGGAAGAACACCAGUGGCGAAGGCGGCUCACUGGUCCGGUACUGACGCUGAGGUGCGAAAGCGUGGGGAGCAAACAGGAUUAGAUACCCUUGUAGUCC